ACUUGCUUCAGCAGUUCAUAGACUUAAAAGUGGAAUGAUGCAGAAAAGAUUAGCAUGGCCCUGUGCAAGGCUGACAUGCAAAUUUAUAUAUAGAUAUAUAUAUAU